CGUAGGGGGCGAGCGUUGUCCGGAUUUAUUGGGCGUAAAGAGCGUGUAGGCGGCCAGGUAGGUCUGCUGUGAAAACUCGAGGCUCAACCUCGAGACGUCGGCGGAAACCAUCUGGCUAGAGUCCGGAAGAGGAGAGUGGAAUUCCUGGUGUAGCGGUGAAAUGCGCAGAUAUCAGGAAGAACACCCGUGGCGAAGGCGGCUCUCUGGGACGGUACUGACGCUGAGACGCGAAAGCGUGGGGAGCGAACAGG
rnacentral:rRNA from 1 species